UGUACACACCGCCCGUCACACUAUGGAAGCUGGUCACGCCCGAAGUCAUUACCUCAACCGCAAGGAGGGGGAUGCCUAAGGCAGGGCUAGUGACUGGGGUGAAGUCGUAACAAGGUAGACGUACCGGAAGGUGUGGCUGGAUCACCUCCUUA
rnacentral:rRNA from 1 species